rnacentral:rRNA from 1 species
AGUGGCGGACGGGUGAGUAACGCGUGAGAAUCUGGCUUCAGGAGGGGGACAACAGUUGGAAACGACUGCUAAUACCCCAUAUGUCUACGGAUGAAACGGUGAAUUCCGCCUGAAGAUGAGCUCGCGUCGGAUUAGCUAGUUGGUGAGGUAAAGGCUCACCAAGGCGACGAUCCGUAGCUGGUCUGAGAGGAUGAUCAGCCACACUGGGACUGAGACACGGCCCAGACUCCUACGGGAGGCAGCAGUGGGGAAUUUUCCGCAAUGGGCGAAAGCCUGACGGAGCGACGCCGCGUGCGGGAAGACGGCCUGUGGGUUGUAAACCGCUUUUCUCUGGGAAGAAUAAGUUGACGGUACCAGAGGAAUCAGCAUCGGCUAACUCCGUGCCAGCAGCCGCGGUAAUACGGAGGAUGCAAGCGUUAUCCGGAAUUAUUGGGCGUAAAGCGUCCGCAGGCGGCUUAUCAAGUCUGCUGUUAAAGGUCGGGGCUCAACUCCGGUUAGGCAGUGGAAACUGAUAGGCUAGAGUGUGGUAGGGGUAGAGGGAAUUCCCAGUGUAGCGGUGAAAUGCGUAGAUAUUGGGAAGAACACCAGUGGCGAAGGCGCUCUACUGGGCCACAACUGACGCUGAGGGACGAAAGCUAGGGGAGCGAAAGGGAUUAGAUACCCCUGUAGUCCUAGCUGUAAACGAUGGACACUAGGUGUUG